rnacentral:lncRNA from 1 species
GUGGAUUCAUUCUUGUGGUAACAUACAAACUUCAAGAAAUUUGAAGAAAGGAUCAAGAGGUUUAAAAAGAAUCAAGGACAAUUAUCAAAGGUUGUUCAUAAAAUUCCACACAUAUGGAUUCAGGUUAGCUUCCGUUCAUGUAGUUGUAAUUCCGAUUAUUCAAUAUGAACGUUAUUGUCUUUAGUAGGAAUCAUAAUCCUAACAAUUGGUAUCAGAGCCACCCUUCAUUUUGG